rnacentral:rRNA from 1 species
AUAACGACUCUCGGCAACGGAUAUCUCGGCUCUCGCAUCGAUGAAGAACGUAGCGAAAUGCGAUACUUGGUGUGAAUUGCAGAAUCCCGUGAACCAUCGAGUCUUUGAACGCAAGUUGCGCCCUAAGCCCUUUGGCCGAGGGCACGUCUGCCUGGG